UGACUUUGAUCAUGGCUCAGGAUGAACGCUAGCUACAGGCUUAACACAUGCAAGUCGAGGGGAAACGAUAGAGAAAGCUUGCUUUUUCUAGGCGUCGACCGGCGCACGGGUGAGUAACGCGUAUCCAACCUGCCCAUCACUUGGGGAUAACCUUGCGAAAGUAAGACUAAUACCCAAUGAUAUCUCAAGAAGACAUCUGAAUGAGAUUAAAGAUUUAUCGGUGAUGGAUGGGGAUGCGUCUGAUUAGCUUGUUGGCGGGGUAACGGCCCACCAAGGCGACGAUCAGUAGGGGUUCUGAGAGGAAGGUCCCCCACAUUGGAACUGAGACACGGUCCAAACUCCUACGGGAGGCAGCAGUGAGGAAUAUUGGUCAAUGGGCGAGAGCCUGAACCAGCCAAGUAGCGUGCAGGAUGACGGCUCUAUGGGUUGUAAACUGCUUUUAUAAGGGAAUAAAGUGAGCCUCGUGAGGCUUUUUGCAUGUACCUUAUGAAUAANGACCGGCUAAUUCCGUGCCAGCAGCCGCGGUAAUACGGAAGGUUCGGGG
rnacentral:rRNA from 1 species